rnacentral:rRNA from 1 species
CCUACGGGAGGCAGCAGUAGGGAAUAUUGCUCAAUGGGGGAAACCCUGAAGCAGCAACGCCGCGUGAAGGAUGAAGGUUUUCGGAUUGUAAACUUCUUUUUUUAGAGAGGAAAAUUACGGUCUCUAACGAAUAAGCACCGUCUAACUCCGAUCCAGCAGCCGUGGUAAUACGGAGGGUGCAAGCGUUACUCGGAAUUACUGGGCGUAAAGAGCGCGUAGGCGGGAUGGCAAGUCAGAUGUGAAAUCCUAUGGCUUAACCAUAGAACUGCAUUUGAAACUGUUAGUCUAGAGUGUGUGAGAGGUAGGUGGAAUUCUUGGUGUAGGGGUGAAAUCCGUAGAGAUCAGGAGGAAUACUCGUUGCGAAGGCGACCUGCUGGAACAUAACUGACGCUGAGGCGCGAAAGCGUGGGGAGCAAACAGGAUUAGAUACCCGAGUAGUC